GCGACGCAUCAUUCUAGACUGGAGAGCCUUCGGCAGACAAAGCAGCAUAUCAAGAGGUUCCUUGUCAUCAUGUUUAAUAGGAAAAGUCUUUAACCAAUGCGUACUCCCAGUUAAGACAUAUGGAUCAGAAACAUAGACUACGACUUAAUUAUUGGAGAAGAAACUGGUUUCACGUCACACAAGUGAAGCGACCCAGUUUUCCCACGCAAACUUCCAUCGGCCGCUCGAGAAUCUACUUUCCCUUCUGAGCAAGUUGUAAGGUUCACCGUGGUGAUAGUCCACCAGGAAGCCGCACGGCGACUUUCAUUUGUCUGCAAUCACCCCGCCACUUUCUCCGUGGAGCAACAGCAAAAGCACGUCUGCCAACCUUUUUCUUUAGACAAGCUGUAUAAAGGAGAAGUAAAGCUAUAUACUGAAA